rnacentral:misc_RNA from 1 species
GAAAAUACACAAAAAUCUGCCCAAUAAUAAUGUUAUUGAUAUUAAAGCGUUUUAUAUUAUUAAAAUGCAUAACAGAGAAUGACUGCAUAUGCAAGGAAGCAAUAACCCAACCUUGCCACACCUCCCACACAAGGGCGAACUGGCGAAACAGCAGGAAAAUUUGGAAUCAAAGAGGAAGUUGAAACCACAUGGAGAACAAGUUCCCACUGAAACACAGUUCUUUCUACACUCCCACAGACACAGGCUAAAAACAACAAUGUUUCAAAUUUUGAGUGGUUGGGAGCAUCAACUUGCUUAUGGUUUCCACAGGAUUGUGGUUUCUGCAAUCAUAGAAGUCACAACAUAUGGAUCCAUGUUUGAUGCAGGCCUCCUGUCCUCGAAAUAUCCCUUUCCUUGCUUCUCUGUGUCUCGGCCAACGCGAAUCGAUGCUCCACGGUUAGCAACGCCCUGCACAAAAAGGGGUAAAAUGUAAGCAAUCUCUUUUAAAAGUUUUUGUCCAAUAAGUAGAACGUGUGAUCCAGCAACAACAAAGACAAUGAAUUUUUUAUGUUCUAUACCCAUAAGAAAGUGUUGAUGUCAGCUGUUUCAUGUCGUCCAGUCAGUCUGCGUUCAUUGCCUUCACCAUAUGCAGCAAUGUGUUCUUUGUGCCUCAGCCCCAACUUCUCAAUUGCUUUCUUGAUGACCUCAUAGCCCCCAUCAUGCCUCAUUGACUUUGUACUAUAGUUUGUGUGAGCUCCAGCACCAUUCCAGUCACCCUGAAUUGGCUUGGGAUCAAAAGAAAGGACAACUCCAGCAAUCUCUGUAAUCCUCUCCAAAAUGUAGCGCGCAACCCAUAAUUCAUCUCCAGCAGAGAUUCCAACUGCAGGUCCCACUUGAAAUUCCCACUGGCCUGGCAUGACUUCUCCAUUAAUACCACUAAUGUUGAUGCCAGCAUAUAGACAGGACUUGUAGUGUGAAUCAACAACGUCUCGCCCAAAGGAUUUGUCAGCACCAAUACUACAGUAGUAUGGCCCCUGCGGACCAGGGUAACCACCAAGAGGCCACCCAAUAGGCCAUUUAACAUCUCUCUGCAGCAAGGUGUAUUCUUGCUCAAUGCCGUACCAGGGCUCUUCAGCAACAACAUCUGGAUGGCUGAAGAUCUUAGCAGCAGCGUGUCUCUUGUUUGUUGGAAUUGGCUCACCAGCAGGGGUGUAAGCAUCACACAUCACAAGUAUAUUGUUGCCCCUCCUAAAUGGAUCCUUGAAAAUAGCCUGGGGAUAUAGGAUGACUUCGCUGUCUUCUCCAGGAGCCUGUCCUGUGCUGGAACCAUCAUAGUUCCACUUGGGGAGCUUUGAAGGAUCACUAACAGGACCAGAAAGAGUCCUUGCUUUGCUCCUCAUGUCCAUGCCAGAUCCGCCGAUCCAUAUGUACUCGGCAAUGAUCUUGUCAGUGGUGUCUGAGAGGUUAAGGUUGAUGAGAUCUGAGAGAAGCGACAUGUCCACACAGUAAUAAUUGGCAACUCUUCUCUUCUUCUUCCUCUUCUUCCUGCCUCUGUAUGCAGAGGUGUCUAGCUGGGGGGAGGGCGUGAAAGCUUUUUGGAGUACCGAGUCUGUAUAAAGAGACGUGAGAAGAGGGGGGCUUGGCUAUGCUUUUAUAGUGGGGCUACAGUGUUUAAAAUGUAAAAUAACUCUAAAAUAUCAUAUUUUAAAAUUGCAUAAUAAUUUAUUAUUCUUAAAAAAAAUUGGUAAUUAGUAUUUUAUUUUCAGCGAAAGGGAUAAAUAAUUUAAGGGUAGCGGCAGUUUCAGCGAAGUUUCGGAUUAUUGAUAUGCUCGUAUAAAGGCAAAUGCAAUCU